CCCAUGUCUCUACGACAAACCGUGCUCAAGCUCGACAUGUUUUACGAAUAAAUUGCAAAACAUAGAGAGGCAUUAACUCCCCUUAGGGGACACCGAAUCCCUUCAUUUUAAAUUCUUCGCUUCUACUAAUUACCCUCUAUGUUUUAGAAAAGGUUUCAUCCUCCUAUCAUUUACGGUUACAAAGUAGAAGUGCUAACAAUGAUUUCUGCGAAAGGUCAAAUAACUCCGUAAGAGGUCAAAGUUCAAUUACGCAGGGUGAACUGUAUUCGUUUCUCAAGAAGUACUAUAUGAUGGACUAUAAAGUUUUUCGAUAAGUCUUAAGACGAAAAUUUUUUUUGACGGCAGGAAAAUAAUAAUAAUAACUAGUGAUCCUAAUUGUUCGCGAACAAUUAGAGGGCUUCCCACCUUCUAGCGGUUUUUCAGUAGUGUUGAAAUGCUAAAAGCCCCCCCCCCCUACCCCAUCCCACCCUCACCCAAAAAAAAAAAAAAAAUUGAUUUGGCUAGAAAAGAAAUUCAAAUUUGCCGCCUAAAUUUGAGUGUUGAGGUGUGUUCAAUGCUUGGUUUCGCAUUAAGUACCCGUCAAAUUUGAGGGAGAAAAGGGGUGUGGGUGUUGGGUAGCCAGCACAUAUGCACAUAUCAGGUAAAAGUGUAAUGGGACUUGUGCAGGUGUUUGGGGUGACUUUAGACCUGUUAGAUGUGAUAUUUGGAGGUGCAAAGAAACCGGAUGUGCCAUUUUCCUAGAUUGUAGUAACUGCUGGUGCAUGCUGGGAGUCUAUACAAGCCUCAUGUUGUCAGAUGUUGUGAAGAUGCACUGGAUUUGACCGUGUGUGUUGUGGAUUGUGGAAUUGAAUAUACAGUUUGUAAUGGCUCAUCCUAUGUGUUCUAAUUCACGGAGACAAUGUCUUUCAGUCAUUUCACCCAAGGAGGCAUGCAUAUACGGAUUGAUAGGCUUUGACAACAAACAACCAAAAUGGCGGCCGGUGAAUUAGAAAGUGUCUGAGUGCAUGUAGGAUAUCUGAACGGAGAAUAGGAGUACUGCAUCCCAUCUGAUCCUGCAGUCAUUUCACCCAAGGAGGCAUGCAUAUACGGAUUUAUAGGCUUUGAUAACAAACAACCAAAAUGGCGGCCGGACUGAAUUAGAAAGUGUCUGAGUGCAUGUAGGAUAUCUGAACGGAGAAUAGGAGUACUGCAUCCCAUCUGAUCCUGCAGGUAAGUGUUUAUUUGUUUACAAUGACAGUCGGGAUGGAAUGUCAAUGAGUUCAACUGUCAAGUAAAGUUGCAUCAUCAUUAUAAAAAAAAAAACAACUUAGUCUUUAUGUUGAUGCAGACAGACAAUUGAAUCUGGCCUAUGUCUUUUCAUGAAUGUAAAUGGAAUUCAUGUUUGAUUGACAAGACAGUCAA